rnacentral:rRNA from 1 species
CCCUUAGAUGUUCUGGGCUGCACGCGCGCUACACUGAUGCGUUCAACGAGUUUAUGACCUUGCCCGAUAGGGUUGGGUAAUCUUUUUAAAUCGCAUCGUGAUGGGGAUAGAUUAUUGCAAUUAUUAAUCUUCAACGAGGAAUUCCUAGUAAGCGCGAGUCAUCAGCUCGUGCUGAUUACGUCCCUGCCCUUUGUACACACCGCCCGUCGCUCCUACCGAUUGAGUGCUCCGGUGAAUAAUUCGGACUGCAGCAGUGUUCAGUUCCUGAACGUUGCAGCGGAAAGUUUAGUGAACCUUAUCACUUAGAGGAAGGAGAAGUCGUAACA